ensembl:lncRNA
GACAUUUUAUUAUAGUUACACUUUUGAUUAUCCCAACACUGACAUUAGGCGGUGAAUCAAAUACUAUCAUGCAGACAGGACAACGGAUUGUCUAGCCUGUAAUUUAGAGAGGUUCCUCUUCUUUUAAAUCUCUUGUUAGUUUGUUUUUUUAAGGCAGGUUGCGAAUGCGAACCAACUUUGGUAGAGGGAUGAGCGGAGAGAGCAACAAACCAACAAACGCUUUGCGAAUCGAUUCGAAUGAGUCAUCACAAAGAUUCAGUUCAUAAGAUAGAUUCGUUCGCGAAUCAGACGUCACACGUGAUGUCACCACGCUCGCUCUUCUUCGAUGGUUUGCGGCAGCGCUAUAAAUGCUGGCGCGCUACUGUGCGCGCUCUCUCAGUUCUGCGAUGGUUCAGCGGGAGUGCGCUAGAGCUUACAAAAAUGAGAAAGUCAUGCGGUUACAAGAAGGUCACACAAGACCCCAAAAUGCCUCGAUCCCAACGGCCAGUACUGCUGAGGAUGAGGUAAAUAAGAUUGAGAAUUUGAAAGGUCCAUCGAGAUCAUCCUAUUGUGGGAAACAUGUGUGAAGAUCUUCAGAAAUCACGUUUUCUGUUCCAGCUUUUUUUUUAAAUGUUAAAAGGGAUCAGUGCUCACUGUUAACAUUUUACAUAAAUGUAUUGUACAUGGUUACAAAUAUAAAAUCUUCCUUUAGUGGAGGUUCCUAGAACAGGGUUCUUCUUUUGUUCCUAGAGAGCCACUUUCCUAAAAUUAAUUUUUAUCAGAUUGGCGCUUAGUCAUCAUGGGAAUGACAUGCAGAUUGACAUAAAAAUAUCAAGGAUUUUUGCAUAAGGCUGCAACAAAAUGUGGAAAAUAAAGAGGUUUUGAAUGCACUGUUUAGGAUGUGUCCAUUCCUGCUUCUGGAGUGCCACUUUCAGCAGUUUAGCCCUAGCCCCAGUUAAACAUGCCUGAAUAAAGGUGUUCUGGAUCACUGGUCUUUCAAGCGUCUUUGGACCGCUCUUCUCUAGCAUUGUUUAAACAUGAGGCUGCUAUACGAAGACAAUGAAUGAGAUGUCUGAAAUGGUACAAUGUUUGAGUUGUCAGUUCUGUUAUUGUUUUUAAACACUGGACAAUAAAAAUGUAUGGAAGUG